UGGCGGCAUGCCUUACACAUGCAAGUCGAACGGUAACAGGUCUUCGGAUGCUGACGAGUGGCGAACGGGUGAGUAAUACAUCGGAACGUGCCUAGUAGUGGGGGAUAACUACUCGAAAGAGUGGCUAAUACCGCAUGAGAUCUACGGAUGAAAGCAGGGGAUCGCAAGACCUUGUGCUACUAGAGCGGCCGAUGGCAGAUUAGGUAGUUGGUGGGAUAAAAGCUUACCAAGCCGACGAUCUGUAGCUGGUCUGAGAGGACGAUCAGCCACACUGGGACUGAGACACGGCCCAGACUCCUACGGGAGGCAGCAGUGGGGAAUUUUGGACAAUGGGCGCAAGCCUGAUCCAGCAAUGCCGCGUGCAGGAUGAAGGCCUUCGGGUUGUAAACUGCUUUUGUACGGAACGAAAAGCCCUGGGUUAAUACCCUGGGGUCAUGACGGUACCGUAAGAAUAAGCACCGGCUAACUACGUGCCAGCA
rnacentral:rRNA from 1 species